AUCCCGAUGCUAUUUCUAGAGAUAGAAAGUUACUUCGGUACAUCGGUGACAGUGGUGCAUGGUUGUCGUCAGCUCGUGUCGUGAGAUGUUGGGUUAAGUCCCGCAACGAGCGCAACCCCUAUUGUUAGUUGCCAUCAUUCAGUUGGGCACUCUAGCGAGACUGCCGGUAAUAAACCGGAGGAAGGUGGGGAUGACGUCAAAUCAUCAUGCCCCUUAUGACCUGGGCUACACACGUGCUACAAUGGUUGGUACAACGAGUUGCGAGUCGGUGACGGCGAGCUAAUCUCUUAAAGCCAAUCUCAGUUCGGAUUGUAGGCUGCAACUCGCCUACAUGAAGUCGGAAUCGCUAGUAAUCGCGGAUCAGCACGCCGCGGUGAAUACGUUCCCGGGCCUU
rnacentral:rRNA from 1 species